AGUCCCUGAGGCUCUCAGUUUGGAAGGCUGCUGGCUACCUGGAUGGAGCCACUUUGCUGUUUUAUUUGGGUGUCUGCCUCUCAAUUCCUUUAGUGCCACCAGAGUAGGUUUCUUCACGGACAAGCUGGCUCUUGGUAAGUGGAGCCCAGACAUGAUACUCGAACAUGGAAUGAAGGGUUGCCUGAGCAACAGAGAGAGGAGAGGCUAAGCUGAAGGUACCCUGAAAGCUCUUGGAAAAAUUCCUUGGGGUAAGUUGGGGAAGCUGGAAAAGUAGCCCAGGAUCUUCUGAAGGAUUCUCCCAGGUGAGUUAGGGAGAACUCAAAUUAGAUAGAGAACUCUUUAGGAAAGAAAGAAAUCUCCCAGCAUUAGUUGGGGGAGCUCAGAAUUAGCCCAAUAACUCUUUUUUUUUUUUUUUUUUUUUUUAGACGGAGUUUUGCUCUUGUUACCCAGGCUGGAGUGCAAUGGCACGAUCUCGGCUCACCGCAACCUCCGCCUCUUGGGUUCAGGCAAUUCUCCUCCCUCAGCCUCCUGGGUAGCUAGGAUUACAGGCACGCGCCAUCAUGCCCGGCUAAUUUUUUGUAUUUUUAGUAGAGACAGGGUUUCACCAUGUUGACCAGGAUGGUCUCGAUCUCUUGACCUCGUGAUCCACCCGCCUCGGCCUCCCAAAGUGCUGGGAUUACAGGCUUGAGCCACCGCGCCCGGACAGCCCGAUAACUCUUUAAAAAAUAUCCCAGGGUGAGCUGGGGGUGCUCAGUAAUACUGGGAUAACAUGGGCCAAAGAUCAAGCAAACGCGAGACUUACUUGGUGUGGUCUGUUUGGGCUGUGGUGCGUUCUCCUUGGGCUGUGGUGCGUUCUCUUCUCCUUGGGCUGUGGUGCGUUCUCUUCUCCUUGGGCUGUGGUGCGUUCUCUUCUCCUUGGGCUGUGGUGCGUUCUCUUCUCCUUGGGCUGUGGUGCGUUCUCUUCUCCUUGGGCUGUGGUGCGUUCUCUUCUCCUUGGGCUGUGGUGCGUUCUCUUCUCCUUGGGCUGUGGUGCGUUCUCUUCUCCUUGGUCUGUGGUGCGUUCUCUUCUUCUUGGGCUGUGGUGCGUUCUCCUUGGGCUGUGGUGCGUUCUCUUCUCCUUGGGCUGUGGUGCGUUCUCUUCUCCUUGGGCUGUGGUGCGUUCUCUUCUCCUUGGGCUGUGGUGUGUUCUCCUUGGGCUGUGGUGCAUUCUGCCCUGGAGAUGUUUCAGACAGAUGAUGAGGAAGCAGAUUCAGGAGAGGAGAGGAUGAUUAGGAUGGAAUGCAGUGGCCUGAUCCUGGCUCAUGGCAACCUCUGCUUCCCAGAUACAAGGCAUUCUCCUGCCUCAGCCUCCUGGGUAGCUUCAUCACAGGUGGACCAGCAGAGAAGCCAGAAGCCUAGGGGAAAGAGAAUUCCACAGGUUGGAGAGGGCAAGAAUAACAUAGUCAAAGCGUGCAAAGAGGAAAGGGAAGAUGGAGAAUUUGCAAAAGCUGUUGAUGUUGAGUACAGUAAGUUUCGGG
ensembl:lncRNA